AUGGCGGCGGCGAAGAUCAGGUGGGGGGAGCUAGACGAGGAGGACGACGGCGGCGACCUCGACUUCCUGCUCCCGCCGCCGGUCGUCGUCGGGCCCGACGCCAACGGCCUCAAGAAGACGAUCCACUACCGCUUCGACGACGACGGCAACAAGGUCAAGGUCACCACCACCACCCGCGUCGUCAAGCUCGCCCGCACGCGCCUCUCCAAGGCGGCCGUCGAGCGCCGCUCCUGGGCCAAGUUCGGCGACGCCGCCAGCGGCGACGACGCCUCCGCGCGCCUCACCGUCGUCUCCACCGAGGAGAUCUUCCUCGAGCGCCCACGCGCCCCAGGGAGCAAGGCUGAUGAACCAAGUGCUUCCAAUGAUGCACUGGAAACGGCAAACAAAGGUACUGCUCUCAUGGUCUGCAGAUCCUGUGGCAAGAAGGGUGACCACUGGACCGCAAAGUGCCCCUACAAGGAUCUCGUCGAUACUCUGGACAGGCCUCCUACUUCUGACGGACCCGCAGCACUGAAUGAUCCCGCUAAGAGCUCGUAUGUUCCUCCGAGGCUAAGGAAGGAUGCUGUUUAUCAAGAUGGUGGGCACGACAUGAGGCGCAGGAACGAUGAGAACUCUGUCCGCGUUACCAAUUUAUCUGAGGACACCCGUGAGCCUGACCUCCUCGAGCUGUUCCGUGCGUUUGGCCCUGUUAGCCGAGUCUAUGUUGCGCUGGAUCAGAGGACUGGAUCAAGCAGGGGCUUUGGCUUCGUCAACUUUGUCCAGAGGGAGGAUGCUGAGAAGGCUAUUAGCAAGCUCAAUGGCUAUGGUUAUGAUAACCUCAUCCUCCAUGUUGAGUGGGCAACACCUCGGCCUAGUAAUUAG
rnacentral:rRNA from 1 species